CACUUACUGGGAACGACUGAAAAUGGCGUAGCUUACUCGGUCAGACGCUGGGAGGUGAUGGGGGGGGGGGACGCCUUUUUGUCCCCUUACCUCUUCUGCCCCAUACGGAGUGCAAGGUUUUCUGCUAUAUGAAUAUCUCCUCGAUGUAUUUUAGUGGAGAAAGUGGCCAGGCAGAAUUGCUCGUGUCACCAUCAAUACGAAGAAGUGGACCAGCCAUUGUUAAGCAUCCCAACAUCUCUGCAGCAUCCUCAUCACCAGGAGCACACCAAGGAUGGAUGCAUUGAAGAACACAUCUGAGCCACAGCGGAGGGACUUAAUGUGGACCACCGUGUUAUCAAACAAUCACAUUUACGCUCAACUGGGAUGAUGAAGUUUCUUUGAAGGACCUGAUGGGGGUUAGGAGGGGUGUUCCCUUCUCCACCCCCCCACCAUCCCUUUGUGACAUGUCUGUCCAGGUUUGGAAUGAGCCUUUGGACUGACAUGGAGCUAUUAUAUUUUUUACGCUCAUUGUCAAUUUUUAUUAUUUUUUGUUAAAUUACAGAAGUUUCACCAGUGGACAUCGAUCUGGUAUGUUGUCAUUAUUAGAUGUGAAUGAUGUAUAUGCACAGUCCACAAUAUUAGAACAAGAGAUAAAUGGUCAUGUCAUUUUUCCAUGAAGUGCAGAACUGAAAAGAAAAAAAAAUAAUGUCGAUGAAUACUGGUCUAAAUCAACCGUCCCGAUAGCACAUUGUAUCAGACACGUAAAACUGUAGCAAGCGUGAGUAUCAUCUUUUUUGCUACCUCAGCGUCUUAAGAGUGAGUGGCGGGUUCAUUUUGACACAUCCUUUCAUGUGUUGAGUUUGAUCACAAAUUAUAUGAAACAUUUUCUCGUAAGGGCAAAAAAAAUGUUUUGUGAAGGCUUUUAAAUGUCAUCACUUGAAGCGAAAUUCUUUGCUCAAUUUUUAUUUUUAAAUGCAAUUAAAUAGUUUUAAAAAUGUGAGCCAAGCACAUUCAUUAUGCUAAUUUUAAAAUACUCAUUUUAAUAAGUACAUAAGUCAUAAAUCAUCAAAAAUGAAAAGCACAUUUUUAGUUGGAUUUAUUUUAUAUAUUCUAAUUUUAUGACAGUAUAUCCAAUAAAACAUUAAUUUUAGUAUAAAUACGUACAACAUGUUUGUCCUUCAUUUUGCAUAAGACGACACCUUUGAUCGGGCAAUGUGCAAUAUUGCAUCCAAACAUGUUACCUUGUUGACUGAUGCUGUGUAUUAUAUAUUAUGAAGAAAAAAACAAAACAAGUGACACGUUGUUUGAAAAGCAACAAAAUCACCAACGUCUUCCAUUCGAAAUUUGUAUAGUCUCAUUUAGACGCUCAUACUUAACUUCAUAUAUAAUCAUCGUAUAAUGCAUGAUGCCUGCUUUAAUACAACACAGAUGAAUAAUCUCCCCAAAAUAAAAUAUACAAAAAAGCAAAUUCAAAUGCAUGAUUAAACUUUUUUUUAAUGCACUCAAAAACCAAAUAAUAGCACUAAACUAAAAGAUGAGAUUGAAGUGAUUUUGAAUGGAUCUUCCAGCCCUUUAGUGUUGUACGUGCAUUACGUGUAAUCCAGAAAAUUGUAUUAGGAUUAGCAAUAAAUGCAUGACUUGUGGUGGUGGUGUGGGACGCUAUAGAGCUUUGUUUUGAGAUUGGAUUCUGCUGGUCAUCAAUUUAUUUAUUUUUUUCUCUUGAUCAAUACACAAAAUUGACUUAAUUGUAUGAUACUUGUAGCAUUUUUACACGCUGAAAGUCCAAAUGUGUUUGCAUAGCACUACUUGCACUGUCAACCACCAUAUCCAGUUUAUGUAUAUUUCUCAACCCUUUCUUUUGGGGACUUAUGACAUGUUAAAAUUCAGUAGGGACU